rnacentral:rRNA from 1 species
GUCUACGGCCAUACCACCCUGAUUGCGCCCGAUCUCAUCCGAUCUCGGAAGCUAAGCAGGGUCGGGCCUGGUUAGUACUUGGAUGGGAGAAAUUAUCCAAUGUGUUCAUAAGAAAAUGACAUCGACU